CUGACCAUACCUAUUUUAUUCCUUUACCGAAGUGAAGUGUAAGCAAAUUAUACCUAAAUUUUCCUUCAAAUAGUACCGCAAGCUUAUCUAUUCUUUUUAUACUUAUAGUAGUUGAAGAUGAAUUUGUCCUUUUGAUGUGAACGAUGUACAGUCAGCAGGUUGUUUUUUUCACAUGCUGUAUUAAACUUAUUACUGUUUGUUCUGAAUGGAGGAUAAUUUAAAUUAAAUAAUAUUACUUACUAUAGAUGUGUAGGAGAAUUAUUAAGUACAGUCAGCCACAUUAUUGGUGUUUUAUAUAUUAUUACUAACUUAAUGAUAGUGAAUUGCGGUUUUGUAAAUGGUAGCACAAGAUAUUCAUAUUAAAUAGUACUUUUGGAACCUUAACACAGUAAGUUAAACAUGUGAAGAGCAUACAGGUGAUUCUAAAAAAAAAAAUUUUUGACAUCCAUUUAAGUUUUGAAUAACUGGUUGACCUCUUAGUUCUUUAAUCGUUUAACUAAGUCCAGCGUGCGCAUUUAACAAUAUCCGGGUAAAUUUUUUUGACGGUUGUUUUUAUUGUUGAAUCUUAUUGUAAGGGUUUUGUCCGGGAGUUAUUUAAUUUACCUACUAUUCCUUAUGUAUUAUCUCGACUUAAAUCGAGUUUUUUCCUUAUUACCGUUACGUUUAUGGAGUAAAGACUUAGUUAAUAGUUUCUUAUCGGUGAUUGCGCGUUUUUUUUUGUUGUUGAUGUUUCGGUAGGAGUUUUUUUUAUGUGUUGCGUGCAGGAGUUUUGUUUACGUAUUACUUUCUUUCGAUCGUGUCUGAGCAAACGUAACUCAGGCACGUGGUUUGGUUGUUCUUGGUGGGCGAAGAGGACGAUUUAAAGACUCUUCGCGUGUUGUACCGGGGUGCUGGCGUUUUAAACCAGCAUUCCAAUCGGCACUGGCUGGUCGGGUUUUGGCGGAUUUUAAACCGUCAAGCUCUUAAUAGCAGUGUCGUACCUUUGUUAACGCUUUGCGGUAUGACUUAAAUCAUAUGCGUGAACGUUAAUGUGGUUGUACGGGGGUUGUUCUGUGGUACACGCCUUAAAGCGUUGUCCGCAAACAUCGGAUUUUUUGUGUGUCAGACUGACAGACUUGCAUUGCCUGAAAUGGAGCCUGUACAGUCGACUUCCUUGUCGUGUUGUUUCGAGCGUUACCGUCUGACUGUCGUUCAGACACAGCUGGUCAACGUAUCGUUGUUGUUGUGUUAUUGUCAGAUUUCCGCGUUCAGACCUGUGACGUCUGACAGUCACGGCCUGAUAUGCGCGCUGUAUAUAUUUGAAUUAGCUGUAGUAGCAGUCACCGAUCUUAGUUAUAGUAAAUUUCACUUGGCUAUAUGCUAUCUUCCGCUGUAUCUCUUGGACGCAUAACCCGCGGCCUGGGCCGUUCGUUAUGUCACCAAGAAAUAUACGCGAUGCGAUGUUUUGUAGUAUUGUAGCUUAGAGCUUGACUUGCAAACGUUGUUUAUUAUACAGUAAGUAUAGUUUAGUGCGUGGGUUCGAUUUGGGUGGUUGUUUUUUUUUUAUUAAGUUUAUUAUUUUGUGGCGGGUAACUGUUGUUUACAUUCUGUGGAUAGAUGUUUGGAGCUGGAGACCAGCUCAAAAUUUUGCCUAUGUCAAAAUUUUAUUCGGGGAGGGAUGUACUGUAACAAUAUUUUUUUAAAGCCUCAUAGGUGUUAAUAUAUUUUGUUUCUAAUAUAAAGGCCAUCUAGCGUUGAACUAUGGUAAUAGUUGCAUUGAUCGUAUUGACGUGGGUCUGAAGGCUACUUAGUUGCUGAUAGGAUCGACAGAGGGCGUGGGUUAGCUCGCUAUCUGCAUUUUAUUAAGUAAAAGGUUUACUUUUAUUAAUUUACAGGAAUUAAAACCUAAUUAAAUAUUUUACAACUUUCUUCUUUCCUUUUGGAAAUUAUUAUUAAGUAUUUUUUUUAUUGAAACGAGUUUAGGAAGCCGUAUCUCCAUCGUGCGCGCAACGAAACGCAGCGCAGCAGUGAAAGUAUCUUCGGUUUGAUCUGUCAGCUGUCAUUUUCAAUUCGGAUGAGAUGGUGUAGGUCGAUUCGUUUUCUUCAAAGGCCAGUGAGCAACAUUGUUUUUAAAUCGCGGUUUAAACCGCUUAAUCCUAUUCGAUGUGAAUCGUUUUGUCAAGAGUGAGCCCCGGGUGCAUGGAAAUUAUGCAAGUACCUAUCCUCCGAAGGCCUAUUGUCUGCCCCGGGGCUUCACGACUUACUACUUUACUAGUCCACGCGGUCGUCAGAGUCGAGCGUUUUACUAGUUUUACACAAUGUUCCUACUUCCACCACCUGGUCGCGUUGUCCCAAGCGCACCCUGAGGCUGUCUGCAGCUGAGAGUGGACUUGUGGGAGCAGGUCCGGACUGUUCCCCGGUACUUUCCGGUUCGAAGUAUGGCGUCAGUGCAGGAGUGUGGUCUUGCAGACGAGGUCAGAGUGUUCCCUGUUAUUUUAUUAAGGCGCCCAAUAAUAAUAAUUUAGUAUUUUUACCUAUAAUUUACCAAGGUCUUCCAGCAUAUUGAAACACAGACUCACCCCCUGUGCUCUAAAUUAUUAUAUAUUUAAGUUACGACUGAGCUAGUUACUAUUAUAAUAUU